rnacentral:tRNA from 1 species
GGUCUCGUAACUCAGUUACUAGUACCUGCGCUGCCUAAAACUGUGGGCGGAGUCCCUGUGUGGGUUCAAAUCCCACCGAGGCCA